CCCUUAGAUGUUCUGGGCCGCACGCGCGCUACACUGAUGCAUUCAACGAGUCUAAAACCUGGUCUGAUAGGGCUGGGUAAUCUUUUGAAUGUGCAUCGUGAUUGGGAUAGAUGAUUGCAAUUCUUCAUCUUCAACGAGGAAUGCCUAGUAAACGCAAGUCAUCAGCUUGCAUUGAUUACGUCCCUGCCCUUUGUACACACCGCCCGUCGCUCCUACCGAUUGAAUGUUCCGAUGAAUACCAUGGACUGAGAGUAUGAAUGGGUUCGCCUAUUUCUGCUUCUCGGGAAGUGGAGUAAAUCUUAACAUUUAGAAGAAGGAGAAGUCGUAACA
rnacentral:rRNA from 1 species